CCUACGGGAGGCAGCAGUGAGGAAUAUUGGUCAAUGGCCGUAAGGCUGAACCAGCCAAGUAGCGUGAGGGAAGACUGCCCUAUGGGUUGUAAACCUCUUUUAUCCGGGGACAAAGGUGUCCACGUGUGGAUGUUUGCAGGUACCGCAUGAAUAAGGACCGGCUAAUUCCGUGCCAGCAGCCGCGGUAAUACGGAAGGUCCGGGCGUUAUCCGGAUUUAUUGGGUUUAAAGGGGGCGUAGGCCGGUCUUUAAGCUUGCCGUGAAAUUUUGGGGCGCAACCCUGAGAGUGCGGUGCAAACUGGCGACCUUGAGUGGGCGGGAGGCAGGCGGAAUGCGUGGUGUAGCGGUGAAAUGCUUAGAUAUCACGAAGAACCCCGAUUGCGAAGGCAGCCUGCCGCAGCGUUACUGACGCUGAAGCACGAAAGCGCGGGUAUCGAACAGGAUUAGAUACCCCAGUAGUC
rnacentral:rRNA from 1 species